GCCUCAAGGCCCCGGCUUGUGCUGUUUGCACGUCCGCUUCUCACUCCACUAAUUUGUGCCCUAAUUCGGCGGUAGUCUCGUAGGGCAUGUCGGUUCCUUUCACCCCCCCCCCCAAAAUUCUCAAUGAUAAACUCAGUUGGGACAUUGUGUUUUUGGGCAAGCCCCAGCCAUGAGAAUGGCCCAGAUGGCAUUGUCAAUGGUGGAAUACCAAAGGAGAACUCGUCAGAGGAUAUGAGAGAGUUAAGGCUAGGAACCAUGAAGGAAUGUGGCGCCGAAAGGUCAACAAUCAAUCUUCUUUUCAGAGAAGAUUUGCCAGUGACAAUUCCAAUGGGAUUUGUUCUCCA